UUUAGUAAUAGUAGUCUUUCAGGGCCUUCCUUAAGACCCGAAGAAUUAAUUUUUGGAGACCCUUUUCUUUGGAUUAGGGUG
rnacentral:snRNA from 14 species